rnacentral:misc_RNA from 1 species
GAUGAAGAACGCAGCAAAAUGCGAUAAGUAAUGUGAAUUGCAGAAUUCAGUGAAUCAUCGAAUCUUUGAACGCACAUUGCGCCCGCCAGUAUUCUGGCGGGCAUGCUUGUUCGAGCGUCAUUUCAACCCUCAAGCACAGCUUGGUGUUGGGACUCGCGUUAAUUCGCGUUCCCCAAAUUGAUUGGCGGUCACGUCGAGCUUCCAUAGCGUAGUAGUAAAACCCUCGUUACUGGUAAUCGUCGCGGCCACGCCGUUAAACCCCAACUUCUGAAUGUUGACCUCGGAUCAGGUAGGAAUACCCGCUGAACUUAAGCAUAUCAAUAAGCGGAGGA